rnacentral:rRNA from 1 species
UACACACCGCCCGUCACACCAUGGGAGUGGGUUGCAAAAGAAGUGGGUAGCUUAACCUUCGGGAGGGCGCUUACCACUUUGUGAUUCAUGACUGGGGUG